rnacentral:misc_RNA from 1 species
UCCUGGUUAACCCAGGCAGUCUCAUUAGAGUUCCCACCCUAAGUGCUGGCAACUAAUGAUAAGGGUUGCGCUCGUUGCGGGACUUAACCCAACACCUCACGGCACGAGCUGACGACAGCCAUGCAGCACCUGUGUGACGGUCCUUUCGGAAGGCGACAUCUCUGCCGCUGUCCGCCACAUGUCAAGCCUGGGUAAGGUUCUUCGCGUAGCAUCGAAUUAAACCACAUGCUCCACUGCUUGUGCGAGCCCCCGUCAAUUCUUUUGAGUUUCACCCUUGCGAGUGUACUCCCCAGGCGGUAUACUUAACGCGUUAGCUCCGACACGGUUGGGGUUGAGACCAACCACAUCAAGUAUACAUAGUUUAAGGCUAGGACUAC